CGGUGUUUAACUGGCGUGAUGUGGGACGUCCUACCGGUGGGCUUAGCCUCGCGAGGGGCGGCCCAACUAAUAUCCCGUCGCGGUGCUCUUUACUGAGUGUCGAGUCGGGCCGGUACGUUUACUUUGAACAAAUUAGAGUGCUUAAAGCAGGCUACCCUCGCCUGAAUACUGCGUGCAUGGAAUAAUGGAAUAGGACCUCGGUUCUAUUUUGUUGGUUUUCGGAACCCCGAGGUAAUGAUUAAUAGGGACAGAUGGGGGCAUUCGUAUUGCGACGUUAGAGGUGAAAUUCUUGGAUCGUCGCAAGACGGACAGAAGCGAAAGCAUUUGCCAAAAAUGUUUUCAUUAAUCAAGAACGAAAGUUAGAGGUUCGAAGGCGAUCAGAUACCGCCCUAGUUCUAACCAUAAACGAUGCCAGCUAGCGAUCCGCCGAAGUUCCUCCGAUGACUCGGCGGGCAGCUUCCGGGAAACCAAAGCUUUUGGGUUCCGGGGGAAGUAUGGUUGCAAAGCUGAAACUUAAAGGAAUUGACGGAAGGGCACCACCAGGAGUGGAGCCUGCGGCUUAAUUUGACUCAACACGGGAAACCUCACCAGGCCCAGACACCGGAAGGAUUGACAGAUUGAUAGCUCUUUCUUGAUUCGGUGGGUGGUGGUGCAUGGCCGUUCUUAGUUGGUGGAGCGAUUUGUCUGGUUAAUUCCGAUAACGAACGAGACUCUAGCCUGCUAAAUAGGCGUACCUUAUGGUAUCGCGAAGGCCCCCGGCUUCGGCCGGUGGGUUUUUACUACCAACGUACAAACAAAUCUUCUUAGAGGGACAGGCGG
rnacentral:rRNA from 1 species